rnacentral:lncRNA from 1 species
UUUUUUUUUUUUCUCUUUAUUUUAUUUUAUUUUUUUAUUUUUUCGAGUUCAGGAAUCUUAUUUUGAUCAACUUUUGCCUUUUUUUUUUUUUUUUUUUUUUUGCUAUUUCGACGAGUCUAGAAGCAUUCUCUACUCCUGAUCGUCUGCCGAAACUAAUCAAUUACUUGUUAUAGCCAGGGUGAACAAGUUCCAGAAAGAACCUGAGUUUCCCUUGAACUUGAUGCUUGAAGAGCUGGUUUUGUUUUCUUCUGCGUAGGAGUUUUUGCCAACCUUGCUGAAGAUGCUGCGUCAGUGGCCUCCAGUGGAGGAGAGCAUUCCCGCAUGGCGCAUGCUCAGUGGAGAGCUGGAGGGCGCCAACAAGAUCUAUCCUGCAAGACUGUCUGAGCAGCUCCUUGGAAUCUUAGGAGGCACAGAUACAACAAAGGGGCUGAUACAGUGUAAGUGAC